UACGUAGGGGGCGAGCGUUGUCCGGAUUCAUUGGGCGUAAAGAGCUCGUAGGCGGCUUAGCAAGUCGGGUGUAAAACCUCCAGGCUUAACCUGGAGAGGCCACCCGAUACUGCUAUGGCUAGAGUCCGGUAGGGGACCACGGAAUUCCUGGUGUAGCGGUGAAAUGCGCAGAUAUCAGGAGGAACACCGGUGGCGAAGGCAGCUCGCUGGGACGGUACUGACGCUAAGGCGCGAAAAGCGUGGGGAGCGAACGAGG
rnacentral:rRNA from 1 species